GAGAGCACAGUACGAUGAAAGUUGUAAGCUUUGUUUGGGGGGAGUUAUUGUCUAUCAUUCGCCUCUAUGGUAGAAUUAGUUGGGAGACCUAAGAUGCGGUGGUUUACCCUGG
rfam:Capsicum annuum cultivar Zunla-1 chromosome 1, whole genome shotgun sequence